rnacentral:lncRNA from 1 species
CAAUCCUAUUGCUAGAACUGGAAAAAUGAAGGCUAUGAGAAGGGACAAUGAAUAGAAUGUAAAGAGAAGCUGUUUUGAAGAAAAAGGUGCAUAUGUUUUGAAGCAAUGUGGUAAUGGAAUUUAAAGGAUUGAUGCCAAGAUAUUCACAGUCAGAUUCUUUGCCUUUGUGAUGUUAUGUCUGGCUUUGCAGAAGAUUGAACCCAUGGC